UCCAGGAGCAGGUGCAAAAAUUGACACCCUGCUUUUGGGAGAGGGUUUUCCUUCCUUCCAAAGCUCUAUCUACCAGACUCUCGCCUUGUAGGCCUCCUCAAAGCUACAGAAUGACAUGGAUGACGAUUUGGGUGCACAGGGGAAGCUUCCUCUUAGAAGGAGCUGAGGAAGGAUAGCAAAAAAUGCUUCUCUUUUGCCUCUCCCCUACAACUUUUGAUAACUGAUCUAUUCUACUAACCAUUUUCUUCAACCCACUUCCUGCCACAGUAUUACGCAACACUGCCACGUCCAGGCCCAACGGUGGGCAAGAGUGGCUCUGAACUGGACAACUAUAAUCUUCUUCCUAUGGACUCCAGGAGUUUGCUAGGACAACUUCAAUUCCCUCCAGACACUCUGGCAAGGGGACUCUUCCUCCCAGACCUGGACUCAGAUGUAAAUGUUGACAUUGGCACCUAGAUGACACACUGGAGCCAAGGGUCCAUUGUCUCUAGGAUCCCCUGCUUUUACCCUUCAGUUAGAAGACAUAAUCUGUGUUAUAAGCCUUAUAGUAUAUAGAAGGUUUCAAUG